AUUGAACGCUGGCGGCAGGCCUAACACAUGCAAGUCGAGCGGAUGAGUGGAGCUUGCUCCAUGAUUCAGCGGCGGACGGGUGAGUAAUGCCUAGGAAUCUGCCUGGUAGUGGGGGACAACGUUUCGAAAGGAACGCUAAUACCGCAUACGUCCUACGGGAGAAAGUGGGGGAGUCUUCGGACCUCACGCUAUCAGAUGAGCCUAGGUCGGAUUAGCUAGUUGGUGAGGUAAAGGCUCACCAAGGCGACGAUCCGUAACUGGUCUGAGAGGAUGAUCAGUCACACUGGAACUGAGACACGGUCCAGACUCCUACGGGAGGCAGCAGUGGGGAAUAUUGGACAAUGGGCGAAAGCCUGAUCCAGCCAUGCCGCGUGUGUGAAGAAGGUCUUCGGAUUGUAA
rnacentral:rRNA from 1 species